rnacentral:rRNA from 2 species
AAUAAAUCAUCGCGCUAUACAUGCAGUCGAACGAACUCUGGUAUUGAUUGGUGCUUGCAUCAUGAUUUACAUUUGAGUGAGUGGCGAACUGGUGAGUAACACGUGGGAAACCUGCCCAGAAGCGGGGGAUAACACCUGGAAACAGAUGCUAAUACCGCAUAACAACUUGGACCGCAUGGUCCGAGUUUGAAAGAUGGCUUCGGCUAUCACUUUUGGAUGGUCCCGCGGCGUAUUAGCUAGAUGGUGGGGUAACGGCUCACCAUGGCAAUGAUACGUAGCCGACCUGAGAGGGUAAUCGGCCACAUUGGGACUGAGACACGGCCCAAACUCCUACGGGAGGCAGCAGUAGGGAAUCUUCCACAAUGGACGAAAGUCUGAUGGAGCAACGCCGCGUGAGUGAAGAAGGGUUUCGGCUCGUAAAACUCUGUUGUUAAAGAAGAACAUAUCUGAGAGUAACUGUUCAGGUAUUGACGGUAUUUAACCAGAAAGCCACGGCUAACUACGUGCCAGCAGCCGCGGUAAUACGUAGGUGGCAAGCGUUGUCCGGAUUUAUUGGGCGUAAAGCGAGCGCAGGCGGUUUUUUAAGUCUGAUGUGAAAGCCUUCGGCUCAACCGAAGAAGUGCAUCGGAAACUGGGAAACUUGAGUGCAGAAGAGGACAGUGGAACUCCAUGUGUAGCGGUGAAAUGCGUAGAUAUAUGGAAGACACCAGUGGCGAAGGCGGCUGUCUGGUCUGUAACUGACGCUGAGGCUCGAAAGUAUGGGUAGCAAACAGGAUUAGAUACCCUGGUAGUCCAUACCGUAAACGAUGAAUGCUAAGUGUUGGAGGGUUUCCGCCCUUCAGUGCUGCAGCUAACGCAUUAGCAUUCCGCCUGGGGAGUACGGCGCAGC